UUUUGACGAGUUGUUAGUAAAUAUAGUAUAUAAUUAAGUUUUGGGUUUCCAACCUUUUGUAUUUAUCUAAGAAUAUUUAGUAGUUGGGGAACCAUUUUAUUUCAUAUCUGUCCAUAAACUCCAUAUUCUUCUACUCUUCAGAAACAAAGAAGAAUAACUAUCUACCUCUCUCUCUCUUUCUAUCUCUAUCUCUCUAUCUCUAUCUCUCUCUCUCCUCCGUAAGAACAAGAAGCUGAAGUUUCAUAAAAAAAACCAUGGAUUUCUACUAAAUUAACGCACAAAAUUCGUUUUUGGUGAAGAUUAAGUUGCUCCUCUUGGUAAGUUUCUAAACUCGUUUUUAUACUAGACACCUACUAGUAUUUUCUACAUAUCGUUUUGUACAGAGCUCUGAUUUAAGUGAUCCAGGACUUUCUGGAAAGGUAUUUCAUAAAUCUAUAAUUUUUAUGAAGGAAUCAAAAUCUAGUUUUGUUGGUAUAUAUAUGAAAAAGGGUCAAAAAGUACAGGACAGGUGCUGCCCAGAUUUUCAGUUCCUGAAAUACUCCAUGUACUGCUGUUAGUAAGUUUAGCAUAAAUUUUUGUUCAAAAUUGAUAUGGUGAUGAUUCAAGAUGUUCUGAAAUGGCAAGACAUAGAUAUACAACUUUUGUGAAGACUAUAAAGUCUAGUUUGUCUGUAUAGAUCUUCAAAACUGAGUCAUAACGCGGAAUAGUGAUAUUGUCCAGAAUUUCUGUUUCAAACGUUUUUGGGUAAUUUUCACCAAUAUCAUGUUUAGUUGACUUGUUAAAUCACUGAACUUAUUUGGAUAUUUGAUUAUGUAUUUAAGGUAUAUAAACUCUUGAAAAAAAUCAAAGGGGAAGUGUUUGAGGAAGUGGACAUAUUUGGUUUGUUUACGGCGUAGACGAUUCGAACGUCCCCAAGUUGUGAUUGAACUGUUUUGUGGUAAAACACCAAGGUUUGUGUAUAAACUUGUACUCUUUUUGCUUGCUGGAAAUAUGUUGAAAUAAUCUAAUAUUUUAUUUUUCUUGUCUUCGAAUUAUAUUGUUAUAUUCAGAUUAUAUCAAGUCUUGUAAGAAAUUUGCUAAAUCGCCCAUUCGUACGGAUUGUUUGAUCAUUUUGUAUUCUUGUUGGGACUUUGUCCUUCUUGUGGCAGUGACUUGGUCACUCACUUGGCAUGCCUCUUGAUUCGGAUCUUUUGCCAUCUUGACUUUAGAUUUGUAGUUCGUCUUGAAUUAUGGAACUUGUCCGUGUUAAGUACGAACUAGGAAGCCAUUUUUAAUAUGGUUCUUGAUUCUCUUGUCUAUUGGGUUUUGACCCUACUUGAUUUGGGGCUUUGGUCCAUCUUGAUAUCUGAUUAUGCUUAGUGUGAUGACAUGACAUACAUAUUGGGCGAAAAAUGGAUAUUUGGUAUACUUUCUUAAAUUGAUAAUAUACACUUUCUAGACUCUUGAACAUUGUUAUUGAUAUUUGGAAACACUUCAAAGUUUGAUAUUGGUAUGUUUGAUAUAUUUGUUCACUUGUUUUAAUUAUGUUAAAUUGAGCUAACUAUGACUGAAAAGGGGAAUUGGAGAAUUUAAUGACUCCAAGCCUAAAGUUUAUACACCACUACGUUUUAUGCUUAGCGAUAGUUGUUUUCUAUAGUAGGAAAUGUUCGGGAUAAAAUCUGAAGAUGG
rnacentral:lncRNA from 1 species